rnacentral:rRNA from 1 species
UACGGGGGGGGCAAGCGUUGUUCGGAAUUACUGGGCGUAAAGGGCUCGUAGGCGGCCAACUAAGUCAGACGUGAAAUCCCUCGGCUUAACCGGGGAACUGCGUCUGAUACUGGAUGGCUAGAGGUUGGGAGAGGGAUGCGGAAUUCCAGGUGUAGCGGUGAAAUGCGUAGAUAUCCGGAGGAACACCGGUGGCGAAGGCGGCUUCCUGGACCGACACUGACGCUGAGGCGCGAAAGCUAGGGGAGCAAACGGG